AAGGGCCUACGGGGCGCAGCAGUAGGGAAUUUUCGUCAAUGGGCGCAAGCCUGAACGAGCAAUGCCGCGUGAACGAGGAAGGUCUUCGGAUCGUAAAGUUCUGUUGAAGGGGAAAAAGAGCGGAGAGAGGAAAUGGUCUCCGAUUGAUAUUACCCUUCGAGGAAGUCCCGGCUAACUACGUGCCAGCAGCCGCGGGAAUACGUAGGUGGCGAGCGUUAUCCGGAAUGAUUGGGCGUAAAGGGUGCGUAGGCG
rnacentral:rRNA from 1 species